UACGUAGGGGGCUAGCGUUAUCCGGAAUUACUGGGCGUAAAGGGUGCGUAGGUGGUUUCUUAAGUCAGAGGUGAAAGGCUACGGCUCAACCGUAGUAAGCCUUUGAAACUGAGAAACUUGAGUGCAGGAGAGGAGAGUAGAAUUCCUAGUGUAGCGGUGAAAUGCGUAGAUAUUAGGAGGAACACCAGUUGCGAAGGCGGCUCUCUGGACUGUAACUGACGCUGAGGCACGAAAGCGUGGGGAGCAAACAGGAUUAGAUACCCUGGUAGUCCCUGA
rnacentral:rRNA from 1 species